GACGAACGCUGGCGGCGUGCUUAACACAUGCAAGUCGAACGGAAAGGCCCCCUUGUGGGGUACUCGAGUGGCGAACGGGUGAGUAACACGUGAGUAACCUACCCUUGACUUUGGGAUAACUUCAGGAAACUGGGGCUAAUACCGGAUAGGAGCUCCUGCUGCAUGGUGGGGGGUGGAAAGUUUCGGCGGUUGGGGAUGGACUCGCGGCUUAUCAGCUUGUUGGUGGGGUAGUGGCUAACCAAGGCUUUGACGGGUAGCCGGCCUGAGAGGGUGACCGGCCACAUUGGGACUGAGAUACGGCCCAGACUCCUACGGGAGGCAGCAGUGGGGAAUAUUGCACAAUGGGCGGAAGCCUGAUGCAGCAACGCCGCGUGCGGGAUGACGUCCUUCGGGUUGUAAACCGCUUUCGCCUGUGACGAAGCGUUAGUGACGGUAAUGGGUAAAGAAGCACCGGCUAACUACGUG
rnacentral:rRNA from 1 species